rnacentral:rRNA from 1 species
UACGUAGGCAGCAAGCGUUGUUCGGAGUUACUGGGCGUAAAGGGUGUGUAGGCGGCCCCCCUAAGUUUGGUGUGAAAUCUCCCGGCUUAACCGGGAGGGUGCGCCGAAGACUGGAGGGCUAGAGUGCGGGAUGGGAGAGUGGAAUUCCUGGUGUAGCGGUGAAAUGCGCAGAUAUCAGGAGGAACACCUGUGGUGUAGACGGCUCUCUGGACCGCAACUGACGCUGAGACACGAAAGCGUGGGUAGCAAACAGG